AUGCUUCAUCUGCGGCUAGCUAACUACAACAACACAUAUGUAAAGGGAAACCAUCGUAAGAAACACAGAUUUUUUACCAGAAUCCCUCUAAAACCAACCAGCUACAAAUAUGAAAUGGCAUUGCAUUGUUACAUCAAUGGUAAGUUCCUAUGCGUACUCUCUGUUUCUCGGGAAUUGGUUGAAAGUGUUUAUUUUGCUAUUGACUCUCUCACUAGGCUUGUUGUCUUUGUUACUGAAUUUUGCAUUGCUACAGGAAGACAUUGCAUUGUUGAAGGAGUCCAUUGGGGACUGGAGUCGAUGGCCUACGACAUGGGUAGACACGUGUGCUUCAUGAUUAUUGUUGAUUAA
rnacentral:rRNA from 1 species